rnacentral:lncRNA from 1 species
AUACACUACUAACAAAGUAAACGUUGAUUUUCUCUUGAACAAAAAUUUUAUGUAUUAUUAAUAUGCCAGCAAAAUACUUCUGUUCACCUUUUGAAUACAUUCAAAAGGAGAGUGAGUACAAAAGAGAAUUUUCUCAUGCUCUGGGGGGGGCCUGGGUCAGCUCAGGAAGGAAGCCCUGCCUGUAAAGGCUGCAGCUUAGGCUGUCUCUCUUCACUUAGCCCAGCAUCUGAUCACAUCUUCUGUCACUCAGGGCCUGAGGGGCGGGACCUAAAGCAUUAUCCAAUCAGAGACGCUGGGCUGGAAACCGUCCAAUCAGGCACGCAGCUGGAGCGACGAGGACGGCUUUCCGCUUUUGGCGCGGCCUUUGUCUCUAGCUGCAGCCGGCGUUUCAGGUCUCGUCUUCACUGGUCUGUGUCCUAUUCUCCUGGAGGCCCAGCCUCUGUGGCCCUGUGACCUGCAGGUAUUGGGAGAUCCACAGCUAAAACCCCAGGACACCCUGGAAGCAUAGAAAUGGUUCUGUAGCAGAAAUUGCUGGUGUCUGUGGCAGGGGAGGGCACCUGAGGACAGGGAAGAAGAAACAUAUUUUUAUCUUUAUGGAGCAGCACAUUGUUCCCAAAUACCUUCUGCUUUAAGGGACAGAAAUGGAUGGACUUUUUCUGUCUUUUCUGCCAGUUGAUGUCAUGCUUGCAGGUCUUCUCCCAGGGUGACAGAGGACUGAAAACUUACAGGAAAGGAGCUCUGAUGACACAUCCCCUUUUCUUGCAGCUGCCACCACAGGAUUCCCACAUACUCCCAAACACACACACUAGACAUUGACAUGUCCACACUCCUCCCAGGACUAGGCACCACCCUCAGUGACUUCACCAUGACAUUUUUGGUCCAAGCACUUCUAGCCAAAAAGCCAAAAGUAUCUACAAGUUUCCUUGCAUAUUCCCAUCCCCGGAUAUCGAAUCUGCAGCAGCAACCUGUUUUCUCCACCAGCCUAGGGUUCUGGCCCUCCUUUUCAUAAUCUCAUCUGCCUGCAUGCACACAGAAAUAAAUCAGAGUACAGCCCCACCUGGUCAACUAUCUGUAGCAAAAAUCUGUCCAUUCACUGACAUUGCACUCUCUCUCACCUGGGGAUUUUUUUUCUUUUUUUUUUUAAUUUAUUUUUUUUAUUGAUCAUUCUUGGGUGUUUCUCGCAGAGGGG